rnacentral:rRNA from 1 species
GAUGAACGCUGGCGGCGUGCCUAAUACAUGCAAGUCGAGCGAACAGAUAAGGAGCUUGCUCCUUUGACGUUAGCGGCGGACGGGUGAGUAACACGUGGGUAACCUACCUAUAAGACUGGGAUAACUUCGGGAAACCGGAGCUAAUACCGGAUAAUAUUUCGAACCGCAUGGUUCGAUAGUGAAAGAUGGUUUUGCUAUCACUUAUAGAUGGACCCGCGCCGUACUAGCUAGUUGGUAAGGUAACGGCUUACCAAGGCGACGAUACGUAGCCGACCUGAGAGGGUGAUCGGCCACACUGGAACUGAGACACGGUCCAGACUCCUACGGGAGGCAGCAGUAGGGAAUCUUCCGCAAUGGGCGAAAGCCUGACGGAGCAACGCCGCGUGAGUGAUGAAGGUCUUCGGAUCGUAAAACUCUGUUAUUAGGGAAGAACAUACGUGUAAGUAACUGUGCACGUCUUGACGGUACCUAAUCAGAAAGCCACGGCUAACUACGUG